AAUAUUGGACAAUGGGGGUAACCCUGAUCCAGCCAUGCCGCUUGUUUGAAUAAUGCCUUUUGGUUGUAAAGCACUUUAUGCGAGGAGGUGGAGCUCUUGGUUACUACCCAAGAUGCUUGGACGUUACUCGCAGAUUAAGCUCCGGCUAACUCUUUGCCAGCAGCCGCGGUAAUACAGAUGGUGCAAGCGUUAAUAGGAUUUAUUGGGCGUAAAGCGCGCGUAGGUGGCCAAUUAAGUCAAAUGUGAAAUCCCCGAGCUUAACUUGGGAAUUGCAUUCAAUACUGGUUGGCUAGAGUAUGGGAGAGGAUGGUAGAAUUCCAGGUGUAGCGGUGAAAUGCGUAGAGAUCUGGAGGAAUACCGAUGGCGAAGGCAGCCAUCUGGCCUAAUACUGACACUGAGGUGCGAAAGCAUGGGGAGCAAACA
rnacentral:rRNA from 1 species